UCAUCUGCAAACUUACUGAGGGUGCACUCGAUGCCCUCAUCCAGGUCAACAGUAAAUAUACUGAAGAGGGCAGGCUCCAAUACUGACCCCUGGAGAACACCACUCAGCUGGAUUUAACUCCAUUCACCACCACUCUCUGGGCCCAGCCCACCAGCCAGUUCUCAAGUGCCUCUCCAGAAUGGUAUUAUAUUAAAAAAAGAUUUGUGUUGAAUAUUGCAAAUCCAGGACAUGCACUGUUGUGAAGUUUCUGUUUGGAAUGGAGGGCUGGAAUUUUUCAUCCAGUGCAAAAGAAACUAGCAUUUAUGUUCACAAGACAGUAUGCACCACCGUUUGGAUUUUUUCAUCUUUGUGAAACUGAUAAACAAAAUUAGUUCUGGAGGAUACUGUGCACUUUCCUUGUUGAAAGGCUUGAAGAAAUCAGCUUCAAUUGGAGAUGACCCCAAAACAAUUGUCCUUCUCAACAACAGAGAAAUAUCAGGAUGGGGAACUGGACUCAUGCCAUCUUGUACUACAAAGAAGGAGUUUCCAAGGCCUCAGAUCUACUCAUAGGAAAGAAUCACAAAGUUUUCAACAAGGAUUAUUAGAUAAGCUUGAUAAUAUCUCAAUGAAAGAGAGAACUUGGAAGAAGGACAGUGAGGAGACUGAAAAACAGAAAACUACACAGACCACUUAUGGUCACUGAAAAAACAGAGACUGACUACCAUAAAGUUGAACAGGGAAAGCCAGUGAGUAUGCAGGGUGUGCAAUUUUUCUACUUCUAUCCUUAAUUCUUAUUUUGCGAACACAAAAGUGGAAAGUCUUGAGAUCCCCUCUGUCUCUACAGUCCCAUGCAGCCCUAUGUUCCCUAUAGCUAGGGAGGAGCAGAACGGAUAUGAAGUGCUCAGCCCACUGUUCAGCAGCCUUUUUGCUUUGACUCCAGUUAAUUUGGAUGAAAUGGGCAUCAGAGACCAACAACAACUCUUCUGUUCCCC
rnacentral:lncRNA from 1 species